UACGUAGGUGGCGAGCGUUAUCCGGAAUGAUUGGGCGUAAAGGGUGCGUAGGCGGCCUGCUAAGUCUGGAGUGAAAGGUACCGGCUCAACCGGUACAGGCUCUGGAAACUGGCGGGCUAGAGAACAGGAGAGGGCGGUGGAACUCCAUGUGUAGCGGUAAAAUGCGUAGAUAUAUGGAGGAACACCGGUGGCGAAAGCGGCUCUCUGGCCUGUAACUGACACUGAGGCUCGAAAGCGUGGGGAGCAAACAGG
rnacentral:rRNA from 1 species